CCAAGAAUACUUGGAUGGACAUCCCAAGUUCAACAUGAAGGCUGAGGCGGGACUUCCCUCUUUGCUGUCACGCUCACCCAAGUGAGGACAGUGCUUGGCUUGCAUUGGACCACUCUGACCACACGGACUGUGGUCACAUCCAUCUUAUCACAGUCAAAGGUUGGAUCUGUGGGCAGGACAUAGAUACUCAUGAAAGACAGAACCAGGAAGACUUGGCUGAAAUGGAUUUGCUUUAUUCAAAACAAGUUGUGUCUUCUGAAGAUUCUCAUUGAAGUCUAGAAAGUCAUGAAGUUGCUCCUGAGGAUGGGUGUGUGUGAUGGUUUCCUGUCUCCAGAGAAAUGGAAAUGGGGCUAACCAGAGAGUUUCAUCCUUGCAAAAUGAGAAGCGGCUUCUUGGACGGCAAGGGACAAGGAUAAAGAUGCAUCCUGUGGGCUUCUUGGGUCUGUUCCUGCCAUGCAUCAGAGCGGCGGUGGUGACGGUCAGGAUCCUGCUGGGCCUGGGGGCUUCUGCAUCGCUGGCGCUGGAUCAGCCAUCAAUUCUUCCAAACGUAAAAGCCACGGCUGCUUUAUAAGGUCCCCUUCAUACUUGGGCAUGGGGACACGGAAAUCAAGUUCCUGCGGCUGAGGUUCCUGUUGAGAGAACAAGGCACGGUGGUAGCCAUGGUCCCUCACGUACAGCGUCCGCGCAUGGCCUCCUGGCCUGAGACAGCAUCCUCCUCGGUGAGGUCCUGGGAGCGCCUGAACAUGAGGAUAGAGUUGUAAACCUUCAGGGCUGGACCCAGCUCGAUCUUCAUCACCUGGGCAAUGUCCGUCUGUGUCAGCAGCAGGAAGAUGCCAUCAAUUGCUGUCAGUAAACAAAUGCACACAAAUAAACACAGCCUGCUUCUCCAGUCUGUUUGCGCCCGCCCCCGAACCCCCCACUGCCAGGAGCCCCUGGGUGCUGAGCUGUGACCCAGACACCAUGAGUUCCCAGAGCUCAGGGGACCACAGAGCACCGCAGCAUCUUAGUCCAACUGUUCUCGACAGCAAGUUCUCCCCAGAACCCUGAAGCUAAGUUACAUUAAAAGCUGUUCAUUCUGUUAAAUGUGAACUCAACGUAUAUGAAGUAGGCUAAAUUUCUACUGUUACAUUUUAAAAUUUUUGGACUGAAUUUGUAUCAAGGGCCUUAACAAUAACCCACUUUCAUAUACCAAGUGAAUCUCCAGGAACACUCAUGAAAAUGAUGAGCAGUGAGGAUGUGCUGGUUUUAUUUAUAGCAGUGAAAUUCUGCAAACAACUGGACAUGCCAGGAACAGCAGAAGGAAAGAAAUGAGGGUGUAACUGAGGAAGGGGGACCGGCAGUCACCUAAAUUCACAUCUCAAUGAAAUAGGUAAUGACUUGGGACACUUUUCGUGGGUUGUGAAGCAAGGGAACAUGAGCUAAUGACCUAGAAAGAUUUGCUUUCAUUUGUAAAAUUAAAUGUGUGUGAUUGCUGUAAACACACAUGGAGUUAAAAUAUUUGAAGUCUUUACAGCAAAUGUGAAGUGACCUUUGGCCAGAUGUUUGGUUUGUGUUUUCUCCUUUAACCUUACUUAAAAUGCUUUCUGUGACAGACACCAUUAUAAGCAGAAGUACAUUCAAAAUGAAUGUGUUAUUUAUUAACUU